UUUAUUCUUCUUGUGCGCGUGGGCUUGAAGAUUUUCAGUAGAAGAACAUCUGCUCUUCAUCUUAAGGAAGACACGUUUCGUCUUCUUGUUGACAAAAAGGACACCUGUGCUCCACUAAGUAACCCACUUACUCCGGUUUCCUUACCACCGCUUCAUUACUCUCUUUUUCGUCUCCCUUGUAUACGCUUUCCCAUUUCAUCAUUUCCUCCCAUGUUCCUCUUUCUCUCUAAAACACACAUCCACUUUCUCUCUCUAAAUUCUCCAAAGAAUACCAUCUCAAACAAGUGGAAGUGUUGUUUCUUAAUGUAAUUUCAGUGGGUUUGGCAGUGGCAGAGAUGGAGAUGUCAAAGUGUUGGUCCAUUUAUCGUUGACCACCAAUCCCACAUCCACAUCCUCUGAAGAAGAAGGGAAACACUUGUCUGUACACCACCGACAAGAUUGCUCCUCUUUCCACCUUGAUAAAGUAUCACUGGAAUUGGAUAUAUCAUUGAUGUUGUGAAUAGAAUAUGGAGAACCCAAAACCAAAAGCUUGGUAAAGGAUUAACUUAGAUAGAUUGAAGACAGUUUGUGCUUAGCUAUUUUUAUCCAUUCUUGCUGAUAAAAUUAUGAAGCGUGUUGUAUCACAACUCAUGGUGAGUAGAAGCUUUGACCUCAAGCCUUUUGCAAAACCCUUGAUGUCCCAUUCACUCUCUUUUAGUGUUUCACUUAAUUUGAAUUUUUUUUCCGUAUGCAUAUAUAAAGUCGAUUCUUCUGUUGUUUCUGGUUCAUAUUAUUUCUGCUGGGUACGUAAUAUUUAUUCCAUUUAAUCAUGUCAAGACUAUUUGACUUUGUUCUUGUCAUGAGAUAACAAAGUAGUCUUGUUAUAUCCGAGUACAUAACAUACAAUAUGUUUCUUUUAACUUCUAUCAUGAUUGUUUUUGCUAGAGUGGCUUGUAAGCUGGAAUUAAGUUAAUGACAAAAGUCUUGUUGUUUCUCUUUAUUACCCAAUGACCAAUAUCAUUGUGAUAGAUCUUUUUUAUUGAGAAAUGAGGCUUAAGAACUGUGAUUUAUACUUUUUAGUGAUUGAGGGUGUGUAAAUCUAGAAGUCUACCUGAUAUUUGGGACACAGUAAUAUACCUUUUCUCUUGAGCUCAAUCAGCUUCAUAUAGUUUCUCUUUGCACAUUCAUAUGUUUCAUGCAAUCUUAUUUUUAUAUUGCCUGCUCGUUAAACCUUAUGCACCUGUAAUGGGGGACAAGUAUGUUCCUUCUCCAUUCCCAUCUAUAAAAUUGCUAUUUUAUAAAUUUUCACAUUUAUUUUGCUUAUCGAUUUUCAAUCCAACUUAAAAAACUAUUUUCUUGAAUUUUAAUAAUAAUCAAGGCUUCAUAUAUAUUUGCAAAACUUAAGAUAUUAAAACAAUGAUCUGAUGUAAGAGUGGAUUUAUCUUUUAUUAUAAUUCCUCUUUGUUUUUGUUUUUUUGUUAUUUUAGUUAUCAAUAAACUCAAGUUGUACCUUUUCAUUUCCUUUCGUUAUGUUCAUGUCUUUUAUACUAUUUUUAAACAUCGGAAUAUAUGUACUUCUCCAUGGGAGAAGUUGAGAGUUGUUCUCUUGACUACCUAUUUUUUGUGAACUCCUAGAAAGCUAUAAUGGAAAUUAUUGAACAUCCUCUGGUUAAGGGAAUCAUAGAUGAGGCCAUGGGAAGUCUGAUUUCGUUUUUUUUUUUUUUUUUUUUUUUUUUUUUGCAAGUUUCAGUUUAAAUUUAAAUUCAUGAAAUGCAACAUUGGACGUUUCCUUUUACUACUUUUGCUUCUUUUGGACAUGAAAGAUCCAACGACUUUUGAUAUGUCUCUUCCCCAUCAACCCAACUUUCUGUCUCAUUUUGAAAUUUCUUAUCUAUUUCGCUUCAUUUUCUUACUUAAAGAAGUUUUUAUGUUGAAACAGCGGAGUCAUGAUUUGGAUAUUAGAUGGUUGUUAUAUUUUGAUUGAUGUGUUCUCACAUGUACUUCCUUUUGUCAGCUAACAACAGAAAUUAUUGCAAAUAUCAUCCAACAAUGAAAGUGUUAAAAGUCAUUUACUUUCACUUGGUUGUUUAAAUGCAAGAAAUAGUUGUGGGCGAUGUUCAUGUGUCGGGCCAAUAUAUUUUGCAACAUCAGAUCAUUUCAAGUCCUUUUCCCUCUCAUACUAUAAAUAAGGACAUAAUGGCUAAUUGACAUUGGUUUACACAUUGUUUUGGUGAUGUUAUUUUGGUUUACAAGGUUUAUAUCUUUCAUUUGUCUUUUAUCCAAAAGCCAAGUAUAACUAGACAUUUUUAAAAUACAUUACAUAUUUUUUGUGUUAGAGCUCAACAAAGGGGAAGGAAGUUGGUAAUAGUAUCCCAUUUCGGGAUGAAUAUUGAAUUCCCUUAAAAAUUAUAAGUAUGUAUUUGCACUUCAGGUGGCCAUUGUACAUGUUGGAACUGGAAAUGACUUGGCCAAAGUUUUCAAAUGUGGUGAUGGUUUGGGGUCAGAGGAGAAAAAAAUAGGCUUGUGCAUAAUGGUUUGAGAUAUAGAGCAUGUUGCAGUAGACGUUUUUGAUAGAUUGAACAUUUCUACUACCAAUCAUAUGGGACAACCACUUAAGCCAAAACAUGUGAAUGACGAUCUUCGGUUUGAUGUUAUGCAAAGCUGUUCAUUGCAAAUGCAAGAAACAGGAAGUUUUGGUACAUAAAAAGCAAAGUGGAUGAGAUAGUUUCUGGUACAAUGUAAAUUUAUAAAGUUGUGUUUUUUUUGGUAAUAAAUUUGGUCGAAUAAGUUAAGAAAUUCUUUUAGUCUUUCUAUGUAGCUCAGUUGGUAAGACAUGGGUGAGACUUGCAUUGAUAAGAAAUAGGUUGUGAGUUCUAUCCAUGACUGAUGACACCUCCAAGCAGCCGAGUGAGUCAAAAUAUGCCUCCUCAUCGAGUACCCUUGGAGGCUAGGUUCGAUGGGGCUUAUUAGGAUUGCGAUCAUCAACCAUUUUUGCAUUGAUCUAACGGGUAAUUAUUGUUUGUCAAUGUGACUUAUUUACAUCAAGAUUUCUUUUGGUCCGUUUGCUUGCUUUGCUAAACCAUAGCAAGUGUAAGUGCAUAUGUGUGCAUCUCCAUUCAUAUUUGUCACAACUAGGAAUUUUGAUGCCUUGUAACAACAAUGAUAACAAAUGUGAACCAAAAAUGUGAAUACAUGUAUGAUGCUUAUUUAAUAACAACGAAUCUUCCAUCAAA